GGAUUUUUUUACAACAUUUAUGUCAUAAAUGACAGGUUUUAUUUACGGCAAAACUGUUUAAAACUUCGAUGAAUCAAUCAAUGUAAACAGUCUUUAAGUUUAUACUAAUUUAAAUCGAUAAAUGGUAUUUCAAAACCAGACCAAUAACCUGCCUUUGGUCAAAGAUUUGAAGGGCUGUUGACCACGAGUGUAAUUACCUAUUUUUGGAGGUUAAAAGGGACAAAAGGGGACAAUAUGCGUUCUUGAUCUACAGCGAUCAAACAAGAAAGAAUGUUAGCAGAGUAAAAGAAAAAGAAAUCCGGAUAAAUCAAGAAAUGAAGCGAGUAUAGCAUUGUUCAACUCAUUACAAAAAAGUAAGGUGAAACGAGUGGAGGAGAUUUGGUUGUUAGAAACGAAAGAUCUUCAAAGACUGCGCUUGUAAGGCCAUGAAGACCGGGCACUGCAAAGCAGUGUGGAGAAUUAACAAGCCGGAUUUGAUUUUAAAGAAAAUUGUGUAAAGAAGAAUAACUUUACUAUAAAGUUAUCAGAAAAUUAUUUUGAACUAUAACUUUACUAUUUAGUAAUCAGAAAGAAAUUUUGAACCAAUUGUACCAUAUACCUUGAAUAUCUCGUGUAUAUUAAAAAAAAUACUGUUCAGUGUUAAAAAGAUAAGUUUUACACUGUAUAAUUCUGUUACCAGUGAAGUAGACUUGUAUAAAUAAAAAUAUAGAUCUGAAUUAACAGACGCUUCUAUAUCAAUAUAACUCCCAUGUCCCCUUGAGAUAUAUUGUUCUUUGAUUGUUAGAGUAGUCAACGUCAU